GCCCCCAUCGUCUAGUCUGGUCCAGGACACAGGCCUUUCAAGCCUGCGACAGGGGUUCGAAUCCCCUUGGGGGCA
rnacentral:tRNA from 1 species